rnacentral:rRNA from 1 species
CCUACGGGUGGCAGCAGUGGGGAAUAUUGGACAAUGGGCGAAAGCCUGAUCCAGCCAUGCCGCGUGUGUGAAGAAGGCCUUCGGGUUGUAAAGCACUUUCAGUGGGGAAGAAAGCCUUGGGGCUAAUACCCUCGAGGAAGGACAUCACCCACAGAAGAAGCACCGGCUAACUCCGUGCCACCAGCCGCGGUAAUACGGAGGGUGCGAGCGUUAAUCGGAAUUACUGGGCGUAAAGCGCGCGUAGGCGGUCUGAUAAGCCGGUUGUGAAAGCCCCGGGCUCAACCUGGGAACGGCAUCCGGAACUGUCAGGCUAGAGUGCAGGAGAGGAAGGUAGAAUUCCCGGUGUAGCGGUGAAAUGCGUAGAGAUCGGGAGGAAUACCAGUGGCGAAGGCGGCCUUCUGGACUGACACUGACGCUGAGGUGCGAAAGCGUGGGUAGCAAACAGGAUUAGAUACCCUAGUAGUC